CCUACGGGAGGCAGCAGUGGGGAAUUUUGGACAAUGGGCGCAAGCCUGAUCCAGCCAUGCCGCGUGAGUGAAGAAGGCCUUCGGGUUGUAAAGCUCUUUCGGCAGGAACGAAAUGGUUCGUGCUAAUACCACGGACUGAUGACGGUACCUGAAGAAGAAGCACCGGCUAACUACGUGCCAGCAGCCGCGGUAAUACGUAGGGUGCAGGCGUUAAUCGGAAUUACUGGGCGUAAAGCGUGCGCAGGCGGUUUCUUAAGUCAGAUGUGAAAGCCCCGGGCUUAACCUGGGAACUGCGUUUGAAACUGGGAGACUUGAGUGUGGCAGAGGGGGGUGGAAUUCCACGUGUAGCAGUGAAAUGCGUAGAUAUGUGGAGGAACACCGAUGGCGAAGGCAGCCCCCUGGGCUAACACUGACGCUCAUGCACGAAAGCGUGGGGGGCAAACAGGAUUAGAUACCCUGGUAGUCCACGCCCUAAACUAUGUCAACUGGUUGUCGGGAGAUUAACUCUCUUGGUAACGAAGCUAACGCGUGAAGUUGACCGCCUGGGGAGGUACGGCCGCGAAGGUUAAACGUUAAAGUUAGAGUAGUUAGGCGUGAGACGUUGCCGACGGACGACGACGAGGGAGGAGG
rnacentral:rRNA from 1 species